UAUAUAUAUAUAUAUACACACACAGACACACACACACACACAUACAUACAUACAUACAUACAUACAUGCAUAUAUAUACAUGCAUGUGUUAAUAACAGUGUUAAUUAUUAAUAACUUUUGUAGUUUCACUUUUAACAUCUGUUAUUCAGUACGGGGAAAAAGAUCCAACCAUUUUACCAUGGAUGAAAAUGAAUGACAUGACCACAGGAUUUUUGACCGUUGUUGUCAAUAAAGGUGAGAGUAGACACCCUAGAAUGACUUCGUGAUCAUAGUUUGCUUAUAAGUAGCUGGAAUUUGUUGGAUAUUGGGUUAUAAUGAAAAAUUAAGUCAGUGACAGCUUCAUGGAUGUUCAUUUGCUAGUUAGAGAUGGCACAAUACCAUUUUUUUAGUUUUCCAAUACUGAAUUCUUGAGUAUCAGAUUUCACUUAAAAAAGAAAAAACCUACAGGGGAAGAUACAUAGCUAACAUAAAGUAUAAAGUGUAAAUACAGGGUGUCCCAAAUAGUCUCCGCACAUAGGAAUGUUCAUGGACAUCCACGUCUGGGUUGGUUCACAACAAAUUUUGAAUUUGUUAAUAAGUUUGGCAACAUUGGGAAUGAUUUCAAUGCUUUCUACUUUUGUUAAAGGCAUUCUGAAGGCUAUCUGUGGUAAAAAUAUAUAAUAUAUAAACUAAGUAUGAACAAUUUUGGAAGACAUUUUGCUAAAAAGUGUUCAUUUACCCCGUGUAUGGCGACUUUUGGGACCCCCUGUAUAAUAAAAAAUAAAUCAAGUACAAUCAAGUAUGUAAACAUUUCCAGUUCAAAAGAAAUCUUUUCCAAAUUUAAUUCCAAUCUUUUCCAUUUCUUUUUUCCAACUGAUAUCCGUUCCUCUCGUUUGCUGGUAUCGGUCUGAUACCAAUCAUGGGUGUUGGAUCGGUCCCAUGCCUAUUGCUAGUUUUUUUUCUUCUUCCUAUUUUCUGUAAAUGGACAAUCAUAGAGAGAUGUUUUGCAUAUUGAAAUGUGAACGUCUUAGCUCCGUGCCUGUCCUCCGUGUCUGUCGACUUCACUAUUUAUCUUAUCAGCGAGCAUGAGGGGAAGCGUGUAUUUGUGGAAAUGAUUCGUCAGUUUAGGAAGUAAUAAUAGAUUUGGGCUGAGAGUUGUACAAACAAGACCUUCAGCAGGCAGCGAGAGAGAGAGAGAGAGAGAGAGAGAGAGAGAGAGAGUGAGAGAAACUUUUAGUGCAUUGUAAUGUAUUCCACAUCACGUGCUUUUCAGCUAGGGGGAUAUAAUCAGAGAUCCAGUCCCAAAUAAACAUUUGUUGUUUACACUUUGAGAUAUUGAUAGCUUAAUGGGACUGGAAAGAAAAAGCAGAUGAUGCCACUCUCUGUAUGAACUUAAUGUAUGAAAUUAAAAAGGAUAAUAUAUAAAGUAUUAGAUCAUGAGUGAAUGUAUUAUUAAUACUACUAGGAGCAUUAGCCAUAGAUUUUAAAUAACAUGCUAUAGUGUGUGACAGUUUGUUUUUUUUAAUUUAAGGUAGUAAUAGUGAGAGAGAUGUUUUGUAUUUUCAUUUUAUUUCCAUUCAUUUUUUCUUCUUUCACAAAUAAUAGCCAGUGCUAUGCUAGCUGUAGUUGUUCACUAUAAACUCAAUUAGCUCAGCUGUGCAUGCGUUGGGGUGAAUGUGUUUUUCUGCACAGAAAUACAUGCCAUGACACCAUAUGAAGAAUUCUUAUACAACUCAAAAUCAUGAAAGCUGGUUACAACCUUUUUGAAAAUAAAUAACAUUUUUUAGUAACAUUGUAGUAGUGGCAUGGGUAUUAAAUUCUGUGUUUUGGGAAACGACAGGGUUUGUUUCUUCUCUCAAAUAGAACUACUAUGAAGAUUGCUCUUUGCCUUUUAGGUGUUUAAAUUUUUUAUCAGAUACAGUACUGUGCAAAAGUUUUAGGCACAUGCAAAGAAAAGCUGUAGAGCAAAGAUACUUUCAAAAUAAUAAAAUUAAACGUUUCUACAUUUUAAAAAAAUUGCAUAAAGAGCAGUUAACAGUAGUAAAUGAAACAAAGUCAAUAUUUAGUGUGACAAAAAUAAAUAAAUAAUAAAAAAAAAUAGUAGUCUCCAGUACAAUUAGUGCAGUUUUUUAAGGAAAUUAGCUAUCAAGUUCUUCUGGAGAAUUUGCCUGUCGCACUUGCUUUUUAUUUUUGCAGCAAAAUCCAGCAGCCUUCGUUAUGUUUUUUGUCUGAAAAGUGCCUCUUAUGUAAUUUGCUGCUUUCUUUAAUGACAUACAAACAUUUUUCUGUAACAUUUAAUUUUGUGCUAGAAACCCAAUGUUUGGGGAAAUGUUUUUUGUACUGACUUGAUAAUGUAGAAGUCAUCAAAUAAAAGAAAAAAAACUAUAAUAAAAUUUUUACUAAGAAAAACAGGGUGCCUAAAACUUUUGCACAGUACUGCUGAUUUUGCAUAUUGAAGUUUUAUGGUUCAGUUGUAUUUAAUGUAUGUUCCACGUUGAGUGAAAGUGACUCACGUGAGUGAGUGAGUCGUUUCUGACUCACAUAGGAAUACAUUAUAAUACUGUAGCAUUAAAUAUUACAUUUAAAUCUUGUAAUUGUAAUAUGUAAUUGUUUAAUUGUUGUACUGUAUACUAUAUAUCUUGUAUUGUACACAUAUUGGAUAUGUAGAAGGAGGUAGAAUUGCAGUUUUCUCUCAUAAUCUUCAAUUAUUUUAUUAGCAUAAAACUUUAAUAAAAUGCUCCUGCUAGAGAGAGAGAGAGAGAAAGAGAGAGAGUGAGAGAGAGAUGUCAUCCCCACUGUCAUAUCAUUAAACCGUCAUACCCCUAGUACCAAAUAACACAUUUUUCUUUUCACUCCCACUCUUCCCCUUUCCUUCCCUCACUGUAAGUCAAAUUUUCAGAAACGCACACUGUAGUAUGUGGGAGUAGAAGCAAUGAAGAACUGUACCACAAAAAUGCAAGGGGCUCAUCCUAAGCAGACUCAGAGGUGGAAAUAAUUGCUUCCAUGCAUGCUGCCAGAUCCAGGGUUAAGUUGUCUUCAGUGCUCAGCUUGUCAAUGAAGCCUUUAUCUUCCAGCCGCUUUUGUCUUGCCCCAUAGAGCCUACUGUAUUUUAUACUGACUUGAAAUGUCUUUUGUGUUCAGUUUGUGUUUAUGGCACUGACACAGAGCCUGUUAUUCUUUGCCAGGAAAAAUGAUUUUUUUUUUUUUCCUCGGCUCUCCUGUAAGCUCUCCCUCUUGACCCCUUCACCUCUCCAGUAAUUUUAAAGCCCAAUAAAAGUCAUUCAAAUGGUGGAUGCUACUCCACUUGUCAUUCUGCUUAAAAGGAUCAGUCCCUUCCAGUGUUAUGGGUGAUAAGAGUUGUAACCGCAUGUUUUUAUACACAUCAUACUAAAGUAGCCCAGACAAAUGUUGAAUAUCUUACUGGCUGCUCUAAGGUUAUUGUUAUUUAAGCAUUACUGCUUGAUUCCAGACAUUUUCACUCUCUUUUACUGACCUCAUGUGCAACCUAACCAGCUUUUAAUGCGUGUACAAGACAUGAAGGCCAGAUUUAUUUGUGUGGCAUGUUUAACUGUUGGUUAGUAUUUUACAGUAGUGCUCAGCAUGCACAUUUUUUGUGAACCUCUCUAAUUUCUUGCAUCUUUAUUGUUUUACUUAAGACGUUUACUUUAACGAUUAGCUACGUAAUUAAAAUUGUACAUGGAGGGGGAAAAAAACAUUGUUAAUGCACAGAAAUGUAGAAAUGUAAUAAGUAAUAUCAAGUGCUACAAUGGUUUAUUGCUAUGAAAAUGAUUCAUUUCCUAUCAGUACUAAUAUAUGUAGUCUUAUUAUCAUAUUUGCAGGCCCGCCAAGUGAAUUAGCUACGUGAUUACAUACAGGACUAAUUAACACGUGUGUUGCAGUUUGGCAGCGAGUCACUGCAGGCCUCAGUGUGUGAAACUGCCGGUAUUAAAGACAUCCACUAUGUCAGCGCAACAGUGGAUCAAUAGCGACAAAAGAGUUGGGAAAUUCUUUGAACUGAGCUCUCAAUCAAAUGACCAGUGUUGUUGAUUUUCAGUAGCAUAACUGUAGUGUAUUCACCUUUUAAUUAUUAACUAGCUCAUAAAUAAUUACAUAAAUAAUUCAUAAAUAAUACAUAGUAUUCAUGAAAAAGGUUCAAAAGUCACCAUUAAACAACCACUGUGUAGGUGGGUUUUUAAUAUGCUUGAUCAGACACCAAAUCAUUUAAUAAGAUGAAAAUGAUAAUUUAAAUCGUUCCUGCAACAAGUGAAUGUGCUGUGUCCUUAUUGUCAAAGAAGCCUAUAUUUUUUUCCUAUCUAUCUAUCUAUCUGUCUGUCUGUCUGUCUGUCUGUCUGUCUGUCUGUCUGUCUGUCCGUCCGUUCGUCUGUCUUUUUUCUUUAUUUAAUUGUUUUUUUUAUGCAUUUAUUUUGAACUACAGACUAUCUUCCGGAAAUGUUACUUGAUUUAUAAAUAUUCUUCCUAGCAUAUUGUGGCUUACAUCUUCCCUAACAUUGCUUAAAUAAAAAGACUACAGAGCAAUAAAUGGACAAAUGACUUAUAUAAUCCUUGCUUGUUACAAUGAAUGCUGAUUAUCAGUAUUAUUACAUUUUCGUUGCACAUGCUCAGAAUGCAGGAAAUUCUCCGAAAUGUUCCAUCACAGCUGCUGCCUCUUUUCUCCUUCUAUUUUUUUUUCUUUUUCCUACGGAUGAGAUGAUUACUUAUUUUCAAACUCUUCACAAAGAACUCACUGGACCUUGGCACACAUUUAAUACAUUUAAAGCAUUGACAAUUUUUAAGUGUGUAAUGUGAAUGUCAAAGCAGGAUCAGUGCUGCUCACUCACCAGACACACUCCACUGAUGUGACUGAGAGAGAGAGAGAGAGAGAGAGAGAGAGAGAGAGAGAGAGGGAAUAAAUGGAUGAUUGAGGGAGAGAAAGAGAGGAGGAGGGAUAGAGAAAGGGUUUGGCUGGGAGUCCAGAAAAAAUAACAAAUAAUGUGUCCUGGGAAGGAGACGGCUUUUGAGAAAGUGGCAGUGCCAUGAAAGCGCUGACCUCUCUCACUAAGGUUCAUGUCUCUGUGUGCAGAACCAGAUGGGUAAUAGCACAAUGCUGAAAUCAUGCUGCACAUAUUAUGGGCCCUGUGAUUGCCAACCUGAUUACCUGCCAUAUGCUUGCUGAAGGAUUCAACAGAAAAUGGGAUAGUAUGCAAAGCUCUUUUUAAAGCAACGUUUUUAUAGAGGAGUCAUUAUGCCAACAUGGAGGCUUGCACAAAUGAAAGCGAGCGUCACGGGGAAGGAAAAUAAUGAAGUCGUAAAAGUCAGGGCUCAUGGUGCACGGGUUCCACCAGGGUCUCACCACUGCCCCUUUGGCUCGGUGCCUGGAUGUGUGCGUGGGACUGUGAGUAGGCCGUGCCACUGGGUUGGAUAAGACAGAAGGGAAGCAUGAGAAUGCUGAAGAAUAGCUGCAUGCUUUCUCAAAAAAUCCUCCAAUAAUCUACUCAGGAAUGAGUUCACUGAGCAACUUUAAACUGUGUACUCAUGUGCAUUCAAACGCAUAAGACUCUCCUUCGAGCUCUGGAAUAUUCCACAUUUAUUUAUUUAUUUGUUUGUUUGUUUGAUAGGUUGAUUGUUACAAUAUACAUGCAUACAUACGUAUCAGAGUUUUCACUUAGAAAUUUUGGUAAAACGUAAACAAUAUACAUUUCGGUGUUUAUUUUUGCCCCGUGUAACAUUUUGGAUUAUGCAUAGUAUAUACAAUAUAAUAAUAACAAAACAAUCAAGUCAAAUGAAAGGUAAAAGUAUAUUUACUGUCUAAUAGACAGUAGUGUGGAAUUAGUGUCUAAAAAACAAACUUUCAAAACAAAAACAGGAUGCAGCAAAAUGCUAAACUACAGUUUGCCACGUAUAUUUCUGUUUACAAAGAAAUAUUAAAAUACCGAAAAUCAUAUAAUUUCCCACACUAAUUUGUUUCUCUUCAUUUUUAUGACUAUUUUCUGCGAUUUUUCAUGGCACAGAAGCGGUUUUGUGAAAUCUUUUUGUCCGGCAUUUUUCGGCAGAUGGACUUGUAAUAUUUGAGCUAUAUACCGCACACGCUCACAUAUACAAACUGCGUAAGUAUCAAGGAUGUAAUAGCGAGCCAGUCAGAAUACCCACUACAGGAGAAACAUAAACAAUAUAUAUUUGCACAGACAUAGAGACCUUAUUUAGGUGAACAAUUGCAAAUGUACUUUGUCUAAUGUAUAUCUGCUUCGUGUUAACAUGUUUACCGGACAUUGUGUCCGACAAUUUUUAACGGUCAAACAUACAUACGUACAUACAUACCCCAUUUCUCCAGUCCUCCCCCACCUAGCUAGCUCUCCUCUAUCACAUGGCAGGGAUGUUACUACUAACCAGGGAUGGUGAAGGCUAGUGCAUGCUUCCUCUGAGAAACAGAUAUUUCCUUCUGCAAAACAUGAGCUCACAGUUGACCACCAUUGGCUAUUGUUGCUGUGAUUUACAGGGGAGAGAAUAAUGCCACCCCUCCCACUUUACUCCCUUGUACUCUGGCCACAACCCAAUCACAACCAACACAUUCGCAUGUAACUUAUCUGCAGCACCUUCAAUAUGGUCUGCUUUGAAAAUACCAGAGUUACCAUUAAUGCGCUUCCACCUGGCUCGAUUGUGUUUGCAGUGAACAGGAGAAGUUUCAUUAGUUUGGAAAGUCUAAUCAUAUGUCAUGGAAAGCACAAGGUUAUGUUAAAAAAGAGAUCAAUUAUGUAAAAGAGAGGUAAAUUAUUUAAUACAUAUUGAGCUUAUUCAAAUAGCGUAUGUGUUCAUGUUAGUUUAGUUAAAAUGCAUUGGUGAAGAAAAUGCCAUAAAGAGCAUUCAAGUGAUACAUUAUACAUUUGAUACAUACAGGAGGUGCUGCAGAUAAGUUGCGAGUGAACAUUUUGUUUGUUUGUUUGUUUGUUUUCUCUCUGUGAGACUGGGUAGGCCAUGGAUGACAUCUCAACAUCAGGAUUCCAUCUCAUGCUCUCCAGAUGAUAUAGCAAACACCUUUCUUUUGUGGCACUUGGGAAUCCCAUGUAGAUAGUGUUUUUGCGUCAUUCUAACCGCAUCUUAAAUCGAGACAAUGGUUAAACAUGGUUAAACACACCAUACAUUUCAUGUCUGAAUAAGAUUUUGAUACGCUCGAUAUUGUCUCAGCUCUGUGUUCACAUGUCUUCUUGUGCCCUGUAAUGAGCUGGGUGGGAACCUUUUCCGUACCAGGAGAUUUGCCCGACUUUCAUUGCUUCAUGUCAUCUACUAAAAGAGAAUUUUUGCAUAAUCUUUAAGUACCUUUAUGGCCUACUUAGCAUAACAUGAUUCCUCUGCUGGUGAGAUUGUAUUUGGGUCAGCUUCUUUCUAAUUCUCUUUCAUUGGGAAUCUCCUCCGACGUCCUGCACGCUAUCCGGCGACAUCAUUAAUUCUAAUGUAGGUCACCCGAGAUUUUAUGAAGUAGGGUGGUAUUUACAUUUUUAAUUAAGACAUAACAGUUAGGUGCAGAUUAGAAUGGAUUUAAAGCCUUGUUAAACAUUUCUGCUUUAUCUCUGUGAGUUUGUUUCACUGGUUAGGUGAGUCGCAGAAUGAAGCUGGACUUCAAUACUGGAUAAUGUUUUUUCCACCCCAUUCUUUUCAGUUAUAUGCAGUGUUCAUGAAGCUCAGUGUAGUCUUUCACAUUUUAUUAUUUCCUGUGUGUCCAUGGCUGUGUACGAAUACACACACACACUGGUUGAACACCACCAUAGUGAUUGAUUCUUGGGUGGAGAUGUUGACGUUGUGUACAACCAGAACCAACAAACACUCACAUGAUACAAAAUAAAGCCAUAAACUUCCAUGUCACAUUCAGUAUCACAGCACUGAAUAAUACUUGGUGGCUUGAUAUGGCAUUCUGGUAAGCGUUUAACUAUUUUAUCUGUGAAUAUUGUGUACUAUGCAUAUUGCAUGGCUCCAUGUUUCAUGCUGGUGGACACUUUCACACUUGUUUUGAAGUCGGCAGUAGAGCCACUGAGAAGUGUCAUCUGAGAAGGAUUGUCAGCAGCCUGAGAGAGAGGAUGAAUAAUGGAACGUGUAUGUGAUGCCCUCCUGUGCAACUGGCUGUGUGUAUAUGUGAGUGUGUGUGUGUGUGUGUGUGUGUGUGUGUGUGUGUGUGUGUGUGUGUGUGUGUGUGUGUUGUUUACUGUAGUAGAGGGAAAGGUGUGUUUGGAGCAACAUGAAAGCCUGGGCAAUGACCCAGUGAAUCAAUCACCAUAGUGAUGUUCAACCACUGUUGGACUGUGGACAUUUGCUGUUAACAACCAAUAAAGCAGGAGAAUAGCAGGAACAUAAAGCACACACACACACUCACACACACACAAACACACCACACACACACACACACACACACACACACACACACACACACACACACACACACACGCACACACAUUAAGUUACAGCAAUUGUCAUCUUAUUUGUGGUGUAGAGGACUUCAUGCAGAGAGAUGAUGUAUGAGUGUACUAUACAGGGUACUUACAAUGAAUAAAACACUGAUGGUCAGAAACAGGGUUCGGAAACCCUGUCCACCGAUUUCUAAAGCCCUGUCCACUGAUUUCUAAAACCCUGUCCACUGAUUUCUAAAAUCCUAUCCACUGAUUUUUAAAACCCUGUCCACUGAUUUCUAAAACCCUAUAUACUGAUUUCCAAAACCCUAUCCAGUGACUUCCCAAACCCUAUCCACUGACUUCCCAAACCCUAUCCAAUGAUCUACCAACCCCUAGCCACUGUUUUCUCAAACCCUGUCUACUUAUUUCACGAAUCAUAUACACUGAUUUCCCAAACCCUAUCCAUUGACUUCCAAAUCCCUAUCCAUUGACUUCCCAAACCCUAUCCACUGACUUCCAAAACCCUAUCCAUUGACUUCCCAAACCCUAUCCACUGACUUCCCAAACCAUAUCCUUAGUGACUUAGUGACUUAGUGAUAGUGUAUCAGGAGAUAAAGGAAUAUUUUAAGUUUUCAACCAUAAAUUUUCAACAACAACAGUAACAACAAUAUUAAAAAUGAAGUUACAGGGAAACAUUUGUAUGUUGUUAAAGAAAGUAUUAAGUAAUACAUAUACCUGUUUCCAGCUAUUACAAUGAGAAGACCAAUUCUCUGACAUAAAUUUAUACAUUCAUAUAUUAAACUAAUACUGCUAAAUUUGAGAAUGAGAUGAUGAGGAACACUUAUAAGAAGAGACCAAUUCUAAUGCAUGCUGAAAAGUUUAGGAAUGUGCUUUUGAGGUCAGUUUAAUAUUGUUUUUGAGUAUAUUUCUUUUGAACAUGGAUUUUAUGCUCUUAAAGUGAUUUUACCCCCUUAUAAUAACUGGCUGUUUAAAUACGAGUGUGUCAGCGAUUUGUUCGAUGCAGGGGAAACGGGGGAACCAGGGUUGGAUUAACGCACUCUCUCGCAUGCCGUAGAUAAAAAGACCUUUAUUUUUCUUAACAAAAACAAAUAAUGAAUGAAAACUUAUUGAAAUGAAACCUUACUAUUGAAUUUAACGUAAAAUGACUUAUUGUGAAUUGGCGUGCAGGAGCGUGGUCAAAAUAGGUGUGCUUCCCAGCUCUCCAUUUCCAUCCGCGCCUGUUGGAAGGUUAACCCACGUUAUAUACACCUCCCACACCACACGUGACCCAUGACCCAGGAGCAAUUGCACCACCAAACCUCACAAAACACAACACAAUCCCAAACAAACAGAUCAAAAACAGCCCCAAAUUCCAACUCCACAACAAAAUGGCAAAAUGGCUGUAACAACGGGUGUGAAGAACGCACAGUAUGUUUGGACCUACCAUUGUGUCCUGGGAGCUUUAAGGGCUUGAAAUAGAUAUAUUAUUAAUCUCGUGUAUGCAAAAUGCUCAACCCCAAUCUGUAGACAAUCAAAAAAAAAAACCCUACAACAGCAGUUUAAAUCUAGCCUAAUUUAGUGACAAACCAUCUAUCUGGCAUAGAGAGAUAAACAUCUAUAGACACUUAUUUUUGGUGUUGUAUUUU
ensembl:lncRNA